AAAUCCUCAGUGAGGGAGAUUCCACAACCUCCCUAGGCAAUUUAUUCCAGUGAUUACUACCCUGGUAGUUAGGAAGUUUUUGUCCAACCUAAACUGCCCUUGUUGCAA